rnacentral:rRNA from 1 species
UGCGUAGGUGGUCCGUUAAGUCAGUUGUGAAAUCCCCGGGCUCAACCCGGGAACUGCUUCUGAUACUGGCGGACUUGAGGCCAGUAGGGGUCACUAGAACUGACGGUGGAGCGGUGAAAUGCGUAGAUAUCGUCAGGAAUGCCGGUGGUGAAGACGGGUGACUGGGCUGGUUCUGACACUGAGGCACGAAAGCGUGGGGAGCGAACGGGAUUAGAUACCCCGGUAGUCCACGCCCUAAACGAUGCAGACUAGAUUGCAGCGGGUUACACCCCGUUGCGGUCGGAGAAAAAUUGUUAAGUCUGCCACCUGGGAAGUACGGUCGCAAGGCUAAA